rnacentral:lncRNA from 12 species
GUUAUUAGAUUAAAGGCUACUUGUAUCUCCAAAUCUAUACCCCAUGGCCUAAGAUCAAUAGCAGGGCUAAUAUGCCUUUUUUUUUUUUUUUUUUUUUUUUUCUAGCAGGGACUCUCCUAGAUCCUCCUGCUCCUGGCAAGGCUGAGUCCUAAGCUUGUCACCAGGAAGAGAAGACCUUCAUACCUUAGUCUCCAGAGAUUUCAACCCAUUCCCCUACUUCAUGCAAACUGGUCUAUCUUUGUAGCCCUGGAGCGUGUAAGAGGUGAAAAGAAACUUAAAUCAGUAAAGAGAGUUAUGCGUCUCUGAGAUAUCAGUGUGGUGCUUGCAGAGUGAUAGUUCCUGUGGGCUUCCUGUUGAGUGUUGGCAAAUUAAAACGGUCACUGUGAUAACACAGAAUGGAAAAGAAGACUCGCUUUCCAUUUUCAAGCAUGAAAUUAGGCCAAGAAUAAUCAGCGGGGCACGAGAUGUGCUGGGUAAAGAGAUGGUUGCCCGUGGGGAUGCCAAAAUGACCCUACAUCGGAGCCAUCAGGAUGAGGAGUGCAGCCAAAGCUACCAAGUCCUCUUCAGCAACAAAUUAAGUGGCUGUCCCUAGAUGAGCUGAUGGACCCUGGCCUGCCAGGAAGUGACAGAGUCAAGAAAAG